UUUUUAUCAUUACAUUAUGGAAAAUAAUGAACUUUAUCACAAUAUGCUAAUUUUUUGAGAAGGACCUGUAUAUGAAUAUUGUGUAUGAAACAACAAAAAUGGGUUUGAAUUUGUUGUUCUGAUUGUUAUUGAUUGAACUCAUUUGAAAGGUCACUGUUGACCCUGAGAAAGAGCAUCUCUGCUGAGCUAUGCACUACAUCAACAGAGGUCAAGAUGUGGGGGUGGACCGGCCAGGUUGGAAGGUUUGGGUUAAUCACAAUGGCCAGAAACCUUCCUGGUCUAGUUUUAUUUAGGAACUACCCUUGAAUCUUACAGAAAGUCCUGAGCCCAUUGGUUAACAAAGUCUACCCCCACACUCUCACUUAGACGGUUGCAAAGAGGACUACAUGACUACACUUGUCCACAAUAAGAGUACAUGUAUCACCGGUGUACUUCUGAAGCAUCCUUAGCCUUACUCUUUUUAACAGUCAAAUAAAACAACUUUUGGGGGGUAAACUGUCUUUGCUUUUUCUUUUAUGCUCAAGUAUAAUGUAACUAUGGGAACAUGGGAAGCUGAUGUGUUGCCCCUACAUUCCAAUGAUAUUGUAGGCUUCAACAUGGGUCACUUGAAAAGAUGGGGGAGGGGAAGUGAGGGCUGGGGUGAAUUAUCAAAAAAUGGGCCGUGUGUUCGUUGGAUUACAUCAUGGCUGUGCAUAUCUUCACCAGAAUGCUCAUUUGUUUGUGAAAAUGUUGCUAUUCAAAUCCUUGAAUAGCAAGCUAUCUUGUUUAGUACACUUACGUAUUGCUAACCAUGAGUGAAAGUCUAUAUGCAAAUAGUUAAUGCAAGAGAGAGGAAAAGUGCUGAGGUGAACAAGAGAUUUGCAUGAUUUGCUGGUUCUUCUGGUAAAUUGAAACUGGGUGUUGGUCAGAACUCUCCAUGGAAAACCUCCUGGAUGGAUGAACUUUAAUCCCUUCUGAGGUUAAAUCAAUAAGGGGAUAAUCAAAAUCCAUGCGGAUGCAGAAGGAUGAAAACUGGACUACCCCGAUUUUCUAUUUGGAUUCCCUACCCAAGAAUAGAUCCCUGAGCCAAACUGCAUUUGUGAUUUUUGGUGUCUACAUUACUAUUCGUUGGAAACCAAACAUGCCAGAGAAUCCCGUGCGGGACUCAGGACAGGAGUCCUCUGUUGGUGCCCAGAAGCCAGAGAAGCCAGACAGCCACGAGACGUCCGUGGGUCCAGACCAAAGCUCCAUGAUGCCCAGCCAGACGUCACUAUUGCAGAAGAGACUGUUUGCCGAGCUGGGCCUUAUCACUUUCAGAAGGCAGCAGCUCCACAGCAGACGGCUCAUGCUGCUGCAGAUGCAGAAGUUUAAGAGGAAGGGGAAACGGAGUCAAGGUCCAGAGGACUCAGAGCAGCCUGGUGAACUGGAGCCCAUACAGCAGGAGCUGGAGGAGCUGGUGGAAAGAGAAAAGAAGCUCAUUGAGCUCAUGUCUGACAUUUCUGUUUUUAGUCAACCAAUGUCUAAUGUGAGUUGUGUUUGGCUGGUCCAUCUCAAAAACUAAACUAAACCAAAACUAUCUCAUGGGUCACAAGGGGGGGUGUACAUUUGCCCCCCUUCCAUACCGGAGGACUAUUCUGAGGCAGAAGAACCCCCACCACUCCCAGUGGCGGUAGAGAAGCUCAGCACAGCCCCGGCUGUUGUCCAGUGCCCAUCAUGCGACCAAAUCAUUACCACGGAGACGCUUCGCAAAGUGGGAGGAACCGCUCGGCUGUUGUGCGUCAUGUGCUCCUUGUUAGGGUGUUUGGCCGGCUGCUGUCUCAUCCCUUUCUGUGUGAAAAGCCUCUGGGACGUUCACCACCACUGCCCCAUGUGUCAUGCCCAGAUCCACAUUUUCAGAAGGCUCUGAGGACAGGAGAAGCCACACACAAACUACUGGACAACUGGUUGGUUUUACUGACCACUAGAGACUCACGCUAUACAAACUGUUACCCAAUACUUGACUGCAAACAAAUCAUUUUAACUGUGCUACAUGCUUGGUGAGUCGACCAGAUCAACCCAGGAAACCCUAAAGAUGACCUAUCAUCAUUCAACAUAUAAACUCUGUCUGUUGACACUAAUGACUGGUCAAGGGAAAAGGAGAGCUGAAUGUUUGUUGAGACUUGAUGUGUUUCAAUUGUUAUGCCAUUCACAUUGCAGAUGUCCAGUUAUUUAUUUUAUUUAACAAUACAUGCAAAUAUGUACAGCCCUAACAGGACUAUAGACUGUGACAACUCAUUUUCUCUGUAUGUUGCCAUCUACCUAUCAGAUAUCUGCGCCCUACCCCUAAACCGUCCCAAGAUGCAAAUGUUCUUGAUGACAAUAUGUUCUUGUGUUUUAUAUUAAUCUGGAACUAAACACACGUGAAAGUAUCACUGAUUAAUGCCUCUAAAUAUAAAGAUCAUUCUGUAAAUUCUUACAAAUUACUUUGCACAAUACACCAAUUUAUUUAUUGACAUGUAGGCAUACAGUACAUAUAUACAUCUUUAGUAUUUACAAGAUUGAACUUGUGGGUGGACUACACAUGUAUAAAAAAUAUGAAUUACAUCUAUAGAAAUAUGUACACAAUGUGCAAAACGUAUACUAAUGAUGGAGCAAAUGAGACAGCUGGGAGGGAGAAACAGCAUUGCCACAAUCAUGGAUGGCAGGGAGGAUAGAGGUGAACGGCUGUGGCCUCCAAUAUACAAUACUGUGACUACAACAGCUGGACUUUUUAGUUUAUGAGGAUUGGAAAUACCAGCAUCUUUGACAUAGCUCAGAGAUUAGCUGUCAGAGGUUAGCUUAUUGCUUUACUUACUCUGGCCUAUAAUCAUCAUCAUAAUCAGUCCCCAUCAAAUGGUCUUUCUCAAUGACCAUUUGUUGUUUCGAGCCAAUUUGUACUAGCCUAACCUGGCUUGAAAACUGUAAAUAUGUUUGGCUAGCUAGCUAGCCGUUACCCCUAGCAUGGCUAGCCAAUUACAAUUUUUUUUUUUUUAAGUCAUUCUGUAGCUCUGGAGAUGCAAGUCUACACUUCCCUCCAGUGGAACUCUAGAAUGUGUUCAAUAAAGCAACAGUGACAUAAGUCAUAUAAAUAUACAGUUUUACACAAAUAAAAUGAAAUUAUUUCAAUUUACAUGGACAUUUUUGGCCAUUGAUGUCUUGACCACUUAGUCCCAAUGUAUUUGUAUGUUUGAUAUCAAAUAAACCAAGAUAUACACUAAAAUCCCUCCUUCAAACUAUUAAAAUAAGGGUAUUUAUUGCACACAAAACAUGAUAAAUAGAAGAAAACUUAACGAUAUAAAGAUAACCAAUGGAAUAAUGUUCCACUGUCUUGUUUGGCAACAACAAAUUUUGAUGGCCCAGUAAAGAGACAAGUCAGCAAGCCCAGAAACAACAGGUCGUUUCCAUUUACAAGCGACUGUUUCCUAAUAUUGAACAAACAACCAGUGCUGUGAACUGUGCUGUAUUUGGCAUAAAUAUACCUUGACAUGUAAUUCAUGUUUGAGAAAACAAGUGUCGUCAGCAUGCAAAUAAAGGGCUGUGCCUGAAUGAUUAUUCUAAACUUGUGGUGAAACUUUCCUUGACAUGGAUGGAAAUUGAUUCUGCUGCUGUGAUGCACUGCACAGUGCACACAAUAGUAGGUUAUAGUGGUCUUAAUUAACAUGGAAUACAGGCCACAGGCCUCAAGUGGACAGCAAAGUAGUCCCAUUGGCCAAAUCCAAGUAAGCACAAACUUUUCAAGCCCUAAUGCUCAAGGCUAGGACAACACAUAGAGGCCGAGUGUUUCAAAAGACCACAGGAUCAUUUCACUCGACAUGAUUGUUCAUAGCUGACAAUGACCAAGAAGAAAGAAAAAUCCCCUUGAUCCCAAAGUGCUGUAAAGUGGACCUGCCUGUAUACAGGUCAGAAGCCCCGUCAGAAAUGUGGACAGAUACAUCAGUGGUCCAUCAUGUACAUGCUGUAGCAGGUAGUGAGAAGACGAAACAGUCUGGAUGAAAAUAACCAAGCUCUGAAACAUCAAAUUAAUAUCGGGCUAGCUGGUAGCUAAACCAUAUUUUUGCCGUCCAGCCACUGGACGGCACAAAGCAAUACAGUAACUCCAACCAGCCAACCAGGUGGCAAGGAUAUCCAUGUGUCAUGGAAACCUGCCCAAUAUUCUCCCAUUUCUACAAGGUCGUGUGGGCUUAGGGUGUUGGUCACACCUCCAGGAGGGGACUGUGCAUUUUGAACCCAAACCCAUACGAGAAAGACAGAACAGUCUUCAAACAGCUUGGCUAGGGAGACAAUACCAUGUCAACACCAGGGUCAGAGAUUAUGGUCGUUUUGGUAAACAUAUCAAACUUGACCAAAAAUAUUUCACUUGUGACUCGACAGGCUACAAAUGAACGUCUUUUGUACGGCCCAAAGUUUGAAGUAGGCUUACAAUCAUGCAUUCAAGACAGACAGUCAGAAACCACAAUAGAGUGACACAUGCAAACAGUCAGAAUAAAACAGACAAAACACACUGACACAGCAUACUUCCGUGUGAGUCAGUCCACAGUAAGUUAAACACAGACACAGGAAGACACUCAAGCAAGCCUCUCCAUCUCUCACAUAUAACAAGACAAACAGACAGGACAGA